AUACGGAGGGUGCAAGCGUUAAUCGGAAUUACAGGGCGUAAAGCGCGCGUAGGCGGUCAGGUCAGUCGGAUGUGAAAGCCCCGGGCUCAACCUGGGAACUGCAUUCGAUACUGCCUGACUAGAGUAUGGUAGAGGGAAGUGGAAUUUCCGGUGUAGCGGUGAAAUGCGUAGAUAUCGCAAGGAACACCAGUGGCGAAGGCGGCUUCCUGGACCAAUACUGACGCUGAGGUGCGAAAGCGUGGGGAGCAAACAGGAUUAGAUACCCCAGUAGUCC
rnacentral:rRNA from 1 species